AAAUUGAAGAGUUUGAUCAUGGCUCAGAUUGAACGCUGGCGGCAGGCCUAACACAUGCAAGUCGAGCGGAAACGAGUUAUCUGAACCUUCGGGGAACGAUAACGGCGUCGAGCGGCGGACGGGUGAGUAAUGCCUAGGAAAUUGCCCUGAUGUGGGGGAUAACCAUUGGAAACGAUGGCUAAUACCGCAUGAUGCCUACGGGCCAAAGAGGGGGACCUUCGGGCCUCUCGCGUCAGGAUAUGCCUAGGUGGGAUUAGCUAGUUGGUGAGGUAAGGGCUCACCAAGGCGACGAUCCCUAGCUGGUCUGAGAGGAUGAUCAGCCACACUGGAACUGAGACACGGUCCAGACUCCUACGGGAGGCAGCAGUGGGGAAUAUUGCACAAUGGGCGCAAGCCUGAUGCAGCCAUGCCGCGUGUGUGAAGAAGGCCUUCGGGUUGUAAAGCACUUUCAGUCGUGAGGAAGGUAGUGUGUUUAAUAGAUGCAUUAUUUGACGUUAGCGACAGAAGAAGCACCGGCUAACUCCGUGCCAGCAGCCGCGGUAAUACGGAGGGUGCGAGCGUUAAUCGGAAUUACUGGGCGUAAAGCGCAUGCAGGUGGUUUGUUAAGUCAGAUGUGAAAGCCCGGGGCUCAACCUCGGAAUAGCAUUUGAAACUGGCAGACUAGAGUACUGUAGAGGGGGGUAGAAUUUCAGGUGUAGCGGUGAAAUGCGUAGAGAUCUGAAGGAAUACCGGUGGCGAAGGCGGCCCCCUGGACAGAUACUGACACUCAGAUGCGAAAGCGUGGGGAGCAAACAGGAUUAGAUACCCUGGUAGUCCACGCCGUAAACGAUGUCUACUUGGAGGUUGUGGCCUUGAGCCGUGGCUUUCGGAGCUAACGCGUUAAGUAGACCGCCUGGGGAGUACGGUCGCAAGAUUAAAACUCAAAUGAAUUGACGGGGGCCCGCACAAGCGGUGGAGCAUGUGGUUUAAUUCGAUGCAACGCGAAGAACCUUACCUACUCUUGACAUCCAGAGAACUUUCCAGAGAUGGAUUGGUGCCUUCGGGAACUCUGAGACAGGUGCUGCAUGGCUGUCGUCAGCUCGUGUUGUGAAAUGUUGGGUUAAGUCCCGCAACGAGCGCAACCCUUAUCCUUGUUUGCCAGCGAGUAAUGUCGGGAACUCCAGGGAGACUGCCGGUGAUAAACCGGAGGAAGGUGGGGACGACGUCAAGUCAUCAUGGCCCUUACGAGUAGGGCUACACACGUGCUACAAUGGCGCAUACAGAGGGCAGCCAACUUGCGAAAGUGAGCGAAUCCCAAAAAGUGCGUCGUAGUCCGGAUUGGAGUCUGCAACUCGACUCCAUGAAGUCGGAAUCGCUAGUAAUCGUGGAUCAGAAUGCCACGGUGAAUACGUUCCCGGGCCUUGUACACACCGCCCGUCACACCAUGGGAGUGGGCUGCAAAAGAAGUAGGUAGUUUAACCUUCGGGGGGACGCUUACCACUUUGUGGUUCAUGACUGGGGUGAAGUCGUAACAAGGUAGCGCUAGGGGAACCUGGCGCUGGAUCACCUCCUUA
rnacentral:rRNA from 1 species